AUGGGGAGUGUCCCUGGGUGUAGUUCAGUGGGGAUGGAGAGUGUCCCUGGUGUAGUUCAGUGGGGAUGGAGAGUGUCCCUGGGUGUAGUUGAGUGGGGAUGGAGAGUGUCCCUGGGUGUAGUUGAGUGGGGAUGGAGAGUGUCCCUGGGUGUAGUUCAGUGGGGAUGGGGAGUGUCCCUGGGUGUAGUUCAGUGGGGAUGGGGAGUGUCCCUGGUUGUAGCUCAGUGGGGAUGGGAGUGUCCCUGGUUUUGUUUGCAGUUGGCCCUUACAUUCUCUAGACAGUUUAGGUGCUUAUAAAAUACAUGCCUCACAUUUUGCUUCUCUACAUUUUAGAAAUUUUGUGUUUUAAGUAGGAUAAGUCAUUGCUGCGUGGGAUCUGAGGUACACAACUCUUGCUUGAUGUGAGCCUGUUGUGCUUAGCUCUGGAGGGUGGGACACAACUGCCUGACAUUAGUGACUUGGAUUCUCUCCUCGGGGUUUUGUUGAAGAUGUUGUCUACGCAUGUUUUCUAUUGCUACUCCUACAGCUUUACCUUUAUUAUAAGAAUUAUUGAGUGAGAUUUAAAAAGCUGUCAAUCAAUGCCAUCAUGUCAUUAAAUGACCUUACAUAAGAAUAUUUUGCCAACAUUUUCCAUAUUUUGACUAUCAAAUUUUUAGAAAUUUAUUGUUCUCUCUUCCAUGGAAUGUAUUGUUAUAAUUUUAAUGAGUAUUUCAAAAUUGUGCCCAUAGGGAAGUUAAUUCAAUUUUCCAUAUUAUGCUAAGAUAAGUUGGAAGCUUUUAUUUCUUCAGAGCCUAGAUCUACUAAUUAUUUCUGUAUUUCAAAUCACGUCUGCAAUCCCGGGAAAAUAACAGUUCUUCCCAAUGACUUUGCCUCCUUCACAGCACAUCUAUGCUCCUCCAUU
rnacentral:lncRNA from 1 species